rnacentral:rRNA from 1 species
UACAGAGGUCCCAAGCGUUGUUCGGAUUUAUUGGGCGUAAAGGGUGCGUAGGCGGUCGCCUAAGUCAGGUGUGAAAUCUCGGGGCUCAACCUCGAAACUGCACUUGAUACUGGGUGGCUAGAGUACUGGAGAGGAGACUGGAAUUUACGGUGUAGCAGUGAAAUGCGUAGAUAUCGUAAGGAAGACCAGUGGCGAAGGCGGGUCUCUGGACAGUUCCUGACACUGAGACACGAAGGCCAGGGGAGCAAACAGG